rnacentral:rRNA from 1 species
ACGCUCGACACCUACGGGAGGCAGCAGUCGGGAAUAUUGCGCAAUGGAGGAAACUCUGACGCAGUGACGCCGCGUGCAGGAAGAAGGUUUUCGGAUUGUAAACUGCUUUAGACAGGGAAGAAAGAAUGACAGUACCUGUAGAAUAAGCUCCGGCUAACUACGUACCAGCAGCCGCGGUAAUCUGAGGCGGGCUGGCAAGGC